rnacentral:tRNA from 1 species
GAGGGUGGGCUCAGUGGUAGAGCACAUGCCUGGCAUGCAGGAGGUCCUGGGUUCAAUCCCCAGUACCUCA